CGCUAACCCGAAGAGGAGGAAGGGGUCCGGGCGGUGUGGUCAGGCAAAUGUGAUGCAACAAUGAGUAAUGUGUAUUCAGCACACACAUACCCACGUGUGUGCGCAAAAGGGCGCCCCUUAGGCCCAAGCGCCCAAGCAGCGGGGGGCGCCAUCCGGGCGUGGUCCCCGAACCCUUUCAUAACGUCGCCUUCAGCGCCCAUUCGUCACCGCCGCCCACUAUAUAAGCCGCGCUGUCCUGCUCGGAGCCGCUGUGUUGUCCUGGGCUUCCUUUCUUGCGCUGCUCCGCCCGAAUCGACAUGAGGCUGUUCUCGCUUGCUGUGGCUCUGGUGGCUCUGGUGUGCCUCCUGGUGCCUCCCGGUCUGGCCACUCCCGAGGCAGAUCCGGUCGCCCGCCCUUCCCCAGUGGCCGACCCUGAGCCUCUCUUCUUCUGGAAGUUUAGGC